rnacentral:lncRNA from 1 species
CUUGCUUACUAUUUUGGACAAAGAAAGAUAACUCUAAUUAAAAAAAAAAUUGCUAUUUCACAAUAUUGUGAAAUUGGAUAUUUCUUGCCAUUGCACAAUACUGUGCAAUUGAAAAGACUUGCUAUUGCACAAUACUUAAUAUAAUAAUUUUAGAUCCUGAUUUGGACCAACUUGAAAACUGGGCCCAUAAUCAAAAAUCUAAGUACAUGUUUAGAUUCAGCAUAUCAAAGAGGCCCAAGAAUUUAAUUUUUGUUAAAAUCAAACUUAGUUUAAUUUUGGACCCUUUGGACCUUAAUGUAGGCCAAUUUGAAAACGGGACCAAAAAUGAAGAAUCUACAUACACAGUUAGAUUUGGCAUAUCAAAGAACCCC